UCCCUGCGUCGUGGCGCUAAAUGGUGGUGGGCCGUGGCCAUUUCCUACGUUCCCGAGUUGAACUUCUACGGUAGGUUGCUGGACACGGUGAAUCGGUAUUAUCCAAAUAGGGUUGCAAAGCGUAAAUUGAAGAAACAGAGUUUUAACUCUGCAGCAGUUCUGCAGAACUAACGUAACCCUGUAUCGGUUGUUUUUUAUUUUUUAUUGCGUUGCUGCUACUAUCUGGUAAAGCUAUUACCAGAGACGCCAUUUCUGCUAGUAGCUCGCCAACUUUUAGGCCUACACACGCCACAUUGGGAGUGAGCGCGUUCAGUUUGUUGUUGAGGCCUAGUUAUACUUUGCCAUGAAAAUGGAAUUCGAGGAUAUCCUACUGUGACCGCUUUUGCUGGGUGGGUGUCGCGGAAGAAGACAUCCGAGGGGGGGAGGACACAUGAACACGGAGAGAACAUGCAAACUCCACACAGAGAGGACCCAGACCAGGACUCAAGACCCAGAACCUCGUUCUCUCAAGGCAACAGUGCUGACCACUACACCGCCAUGCCAGUACAUGCCACCACGAUCUCUGUCUUGAAAAAGAAGAAAAGUGAUGUUCCCGCCCGGUUUCGAACCGAGGACCUUUCGCGUGUUAGGCGAACGUGAUAACCACUACACUACGGGAACUGAUCUGAGGGUGCCAGGAUGUCUGUUGGCGUUUGACUACAGGGAAAAACAAUAUUUCAG